UGUGCGCGAGGUGUGUUGCGGGAGAUAUGCUUGAGCAAGAGAGAGAGAGACAGAGAAAGAGGAAAGUUUUGAAAAUAUGGCGGCACGCUAUUGAAGACCACAAGUUUAGCUGUGAUUUGUUUGUUUUCGCAAGUAUAGUUGUUGGAUGUUUUACAGAAUAAAGAAAAAUAACGAACUAUUCGAGUGAGCUGUGUUUCAGUGUUGCGGUGAGAGCUGUGGCUGGAGUGCGUGUGGAACCUGGGGAGACGUGUUGCUGCCGAAUUUACAUCGGAGGAAGUAGAGCCAGUCUUCUGGUGCAGGCGGAGCGGAGAGGUCGAGUGGGGGUGUAGGGAGAGAUGAGGGUCUGGAGGUAGCUGGGUGCAGUCUGGUCAGUAUUAGACUUGCAUUGUUAUGUCUACAUGGUAACACAAACAUACUGGUCUCGCAUGGGAACUUCCUUCUUCUUAUUGUCGUUUCUGCCAAGUUACAAGUGCUGCUACAUUUGUAAGCAAUCGAUGUAAAGUUUCCAGUUGGGUAGCUCUCGCAGGUGAGGUGUGCUUUUAAGGAUCUGGCCGUGGAUUUCCUCACUGGGACACUGGGGAGCUCAUAUUAUUUAUUUUCUUAGCAGACGCCCUUACCCAGGGCGACUUAGAGUUGUGAUUGUAUUUUGUAAUUUGUGUUUUGUGACUGUAUUUUUAUUAAUAUUGUGUUUAAAAUACAGGGAUAAUCACAAAAUAUACAGUUUUCUAUAUGCUUUCACAUAAAAUAUAUAAUAUAUCUCAUCAUGAUGGGAUUAUGAUCUUAAUGUCAUCAACUACAUAUAAUUUUGUGUCAAUCAUUUAUUUUCUCAUUAAUAACACAGUUUUGUGGGAGGUUGAUUAAUGCAUUUAAACACAAUGACGUUAAUUCACCCAUAUUGAAAGACGCUGUGAUGCAUUUCCCUACGGUGGCCCUGAAGUGCAAAACGAAAAAAAAAAAAACUGGUGUGAAUUUUUUUUAAAAAAGGUAGCAAAAAUAAUAAAAUGUGAGCAUUUUAAAAAAAGGUUGACAAAAAACACAUUGUCAGCAUUUUAAAAAAGGGUGGCAAAAAAAUGUGAGCAUUUUAAGAGUGGCCAAAAAAAUGUUUGUGAACAUUUUAAAAGUGUGGACAAAAAUGCGCAUUUUUUUUUUUCAAGGGGGCGUAAUUUAUAAAGGGGUGUAAUUUUUUUAAACGUGUGUGAAACUUUGUAGAUGCGCUACAAAUAAAAAAUGUGUGCCAGAAAUGACGUAAGAGUACUUCCGGGUCUAAAACAGGAAGUUUUCACAAGAUUAACUGACUUGUUCCGCAUUCUUUUGCAGUUUUAGCGCCAUAUUAUACGUGACGGGCAUUUUCUACCCCCAUUGACUGAACAUACGCCCAAAAUAGAAGCUGUUAGGGAACUACACUGAGGUAUUUGCACCAAUCCCUCUCAGUGAUGACAGCAGUGUUGAAGACACAGAAGAAACUGUGAUAGGUGAUAGAGCUCAAGAAAGCCAUAUUACAAUAAGUAACAUCAUAGAAGAUUUAUUUCUUCAAGUCAAUAAUGCAGCCUGCAGUCGCUUUAUAAUUAAGAGAGCUGAUGUCUGGGAUGGAGCGAUGCGGGGUUUCCGUAGAAGUAACUAUGAACCCCAGAAUUCCAUGAUGGUGAAAUUUACGGAUGACAUUGGAGUCACUGAAGAAGGAAUUGAUACAGGAGGACCAAAACGGGAGUUCCUUGGUCUUCUAAUGGAUCACUUGCAUAAACAUCCCGUAUUUGAAGGACCAGAAACACAAAGGUUUCUUAAAUAUGAUGCAACUGGUGAGAAGAAUGACGAAUACUUCAUGGCUGGAAGAAUAAUUGUUUUUCAUCUGGCUGGCUGCAAGACAGUCAUUAAAGAAUUGGACGACAAGGAGAAACUAGUUGAAGACUUUCUUAAGUGGUAUAUAAUAAAAAGAAAUGCAUUUGGCAUCGAGCGGAAAUUUGUCGCCGGAAGGACCAUCACUGCGUGAUAUUCUCCAGUUUGCUACCGGCCUGUCCUCCAUUCCACCUUCUGGUUUCCAUCUGCGUCCAUCAGUACAGUUUCUUCAUAAUGGGUCACCAUAUCCCAUUGCUA